UGUGGCACGAGAAUGCCCCCCAGGGGUCUGUGGGGUAGCUCAGCUCUAUUGUACCAGGCCCAGGAGCAUUGGAAACUGCUUGUGCCCACAAAGCUCCACAUCAAACAGCACGUGGAGGUUAAAGGCAAGACUGAGCCCAAGUUCUGCCUAUGUAGAGCUGUAACAGUACCACUAAGGAGCUAGGCAAUGGGGACUACUCGAAAAAUUUCCCCAGCCAACUUAGACCAUCUUUGAGGCAGGGUAUUUUUGGGGUGACGGCAGGGGGAACACUGAGGAAUAUGCAUUUUAAACAAGUGCCAGUUAAAUCAGAUGCACUGGACAAAACCUCUAUGAUGGAAAACUUGAUGGAGGGAAGCAAAGAAAGGGUUCUCCAUGGAUGGGGUGCCAGGUGCUUGAUAGAAAGCAAUACCUCUUAAAGGAAACCAUGGUUGUGCAAGAGACCCAUUUCUUGGAUGGGCUUCUUCCUUCCCUUAAUAUAAUAUCACUGUCCCCAUCCACCCACACACGCGCAGGGGGAUCAAGGUACGCUGGUCAGGCACACAGUAGGUGGGCCGCUGAGGGCUUUGCAACAGCGAAAUCAUUCAUUGUCUGCCUCCAGCUCCUACCAAAGCUUAGCGCGGAGAGAUGAUCUCAGAGAGAUUUACCUACAACACAGUCUGUCUACCCACUCCAGAUAUCUUAAAGGAAAAGUCCAUUGAUCCCUGUGUCACUAGUCAACACACCCUAGAUUCAACCUCAGCAUUCUAUUUUUUUUCCCUCCACCUAUUCGGUCAACCAAAACUCAUCAGACUCCAUCUAUGUCAGGCACGUGCACAGAGCUGGAAAUCUAGGAUGCGUGGGAUUGCAUUUCUGUCUUAAAGGAGUUGAUAUUCUUGGAGAAUUCAGAAGCUAAGCAGUCACAGCAGCACACGGGAAACAAGGAUGAAUAAGCCAGAGUAUCCACUUCCAAGAAAUUGAGUCCAUUAGGGGAGAUUAGCAUUACGCAGCUGACUCUGGUACAAAAAUGAUACGUGUGAUAUUAACAAUGAUCCAGAGUGCAAUGGGGACACAGAGUUCAGAGCGGUCCGUUCUUCCAGAAAAGGCCCCACCCAGGAGUUGGUAUUUGAGUGCAUUGAGUGGAAGAGUAUCCUGGGCAGAGGGAACAGAGCGAGCUAAAGCGAGGGGCUGCAGGAAGAAUAUAACGUGUUCUAAGAGCCACACAACAAAGAGUUUGAAACCGCUGGAGGGUUUAUAGAAAGUGCUUCAGCACGAUCUUGGGGGAUGUCAACAGCUCUCAGCUGCCACCCUCCACCUCAUUUGGCACGCUCCCUGAGGCUGUGGCCUGUGUCCACCUAAUGGGCCAGUGCAACACCUGGCCGAGUGCCGAUGGCAUUGUGGGGCUUAAUGAAUUCCCUUUGAAGAUGAGAGGACUGUGAGGGAGAGAAGAAUUUGCCACUCAAGUGAGUCAACUGGAACGGAAGGUGUGUCUGGCUACUCAGGCCCAGCUCUCUGGCUAGUCAACCAGACAGCCCGGGCCACCUCCCCUGGGUCCAUGGGGUUCUACUAGGGAACAUCAAGUCUUUUUUAAGCAAGUAGUUCCUAAGCCACAGCACUUCUGGCUCAUCCUUGUAUUUGUAGUUUUACCAACAUAAGCUAUCCCAGAGCUAGGUCUCCGCCAUACCCAUUGGUUUCCUAGGGAGUGAUGGUAUAUUUAGGCUGCUUUUAGAGCACCAACACAGCCCAGCCUCCUGGGGAUAGCAUGGAAGGACAUGUAAGAGGCAGACUUAAAUGGUCCUGAGCUGUGUAGUCAUCCUUUUGGGUUCUCUGAGCUUCCUGUCCUGAGCUAAGGUUUUUCUCCUGGGGUUAGCCGAGGCACCAAGAGAUAAACAAAGCUUUAAAGGGACUCUCCCCAUUGGAAAGCUGCGCUGGAACCCAAGACGCUGCUUCACCCUACCUUCUGAUGAGUGUGUCCAGCCUUCCAAUGAGUACACCCCUGUGUAGACUCUCUGAGGUGUGUGUGGGGCAGGGGGAGAAAAGACCACACGAGCUUGAAACUUCUCUAAAAUGCCCUUCUUCAUACGUUGGGUCUACAAAAUGUCAAAACAGCCAGGUAAAUCACGCUAGGAUUCAUCAUGGCAGUGGGCAACCAGUCAACCCUGAUAUUUAACUCUGAGCCACCCAAACAACUCUUGGUGACUAAGGUUUUUUCCACUUACACCGGAUUCUUCUGCUUUCACCACACAAUUAUAUUAGCAAAUGAGAUCCCUGAGUAAGCAAAAUAGGCCCUUCACACACACAUUCCUUAGCCUACUACAGAUAAUUCAGAGUCAGGGAACAUUCAUUCACAUAAGCUUUUCAAAAUACACCUCCAAGCCAUUUUCACCAUGGAAUGGCUGUGAUCUCAAAAAUCAAGUGUGUGCAGAAGCAGGCAGCCAGUGGUUUGCAAGAGAAUGAGAACUGAGCAAUGAACAAAAUUAACACUUACAACUUAUGUAACCGGCAAAAGAUUAACACCCAGAAUAUGGGGGAAGGAGGAGGCCCCUGCACAUCCAUAAGAAGGAAAGACAACAGAAAUAAAUUGGCAGCCUUUAUGAACAUGCACAUCGCAGAAAAGGAAACGAUCCUUAGGGUACGGAAAGAUGUUCGACUUCGCUAAUAAUCAAAGAAAUGCAAGUUUGAAAAUUAAGAGAUGCCAUUUCACACCCAUCACAUUGGCCAAAAUUUUUAAAGUCUGAUGAUGUGAAGUGUUUAUGUGAAGAAUAUGAAACAACGGCAAAGCACAAAUGCACUGAUGAUAGAACUGGAGAGAAAUUUGGUAAUAUCCACCAAAUUUGAGACUACCUAUAUCUUAUCUCACAGGUAUUCCACUCUCAGAUAUACAACUGAGAGAAACUGUCUGUAUGCAAAGAGCUUUACACAGGGAUGUUCACUGCAUCAUUGUUUACAGGCGAGAAAAGAACUUUAAAGCUCCAUUAGUAGAGAAAUGCCCAAUAUAUUGUAACCCAUUCAUAAAAAAGGAAUAUGAUAUUGAAGCUAAAGUGAAUGGAAUGAAACCAAUGUACCAAUACAAUUGUAUCUAAAAUAAUAAUGCUGAGUGAAAAAAGUAAUUUGCAGAAUAAAUCGGUAUUAUGCCGCUUACG